GGGGAUAUAGCUCAGUUGGUAGAGUGCUUGUCUUGCAUGCACAAGACCCUGGGUUCAAUCCCCAGCACCACCC
rnacentral:tRNA from 1 species